rnacentral:rRNA from 1 species
CAGCAGUAGGGAAUCUUCGGCAAUGGGGGCAACCCUGACCGAGCAACGCCGCGUGAGUGAAGAAGGUUUUCGGAUCGUAAAGCUCUGUUGUAAGAGAAGAACGUUGAUGAGAGUGGAAAAUUCAUCAAGUGACGGUAUCUUACCAGAAAGGGACGGCUAACUACGUGCCAGCAGCCGCGGUAAUACGUAGGUCCCGAGCGUUGUCCGGAUUUAUUGGGCGUAAAGCGAGCGCAGGCGGUUUCGUAAGUCUGAAGUUAAAGGCAGUGGCUCAACCAUUGUUCGCUUUGGAAACUGCGAGACUUGAGUGCAGAAGGGGAGAGUGGAAUUCCAUGUGUAGCGGUG